rnacentral:lncRNA from 1 species
GGCCUUCCUAACUUCCGGAUAGGCGCCAUAUUGGAAAAAACUGGACAUACUCAGAGAGGUAGGUCGACAAUUUGAAAUGUUGAAUUAAGAAAAUCGAGCAAACCAGUUUUGUAUUGGAUUAGUGCAUAUUGUACUGUGAGUUAAAAAUUUUGAAGUUAUAAAUAAAAUUAUUAUGGUUAUAGAGAAAAAGUUCAGCAUUGCCAAGAAUGUUGCGAAAACACAUGUCUGAUAAAACCAAGUCUUGGUUUUAUGGAUUUUUGACAAUUGUUCGUUUUUGGAUAAGAAAUUUCUUUAAAUUAAAGGUCCGAUAAAAGUUUAAUAUGUUUUUGAAUGUUUAUAUGGCAACAACAUUGCAGAUCGGAUGCAAAUUAUGCAUUUUGACGCACAUGUUAUGCCGCUUCAUUGUUAUGCAAAUGAGCGACAAUAACCGGUUGUUUGUGUACUUUAACACACAUGAUGUAUCAUUGAAAACGUGUAGGCAUUGUAUGGUAUGAAUAUAUAUAUAUCUGUAAUUUAAACUAUAAUUGCUCAAUUCAAUACAUUAAUUAAUUGUUGCAUGUACUUUGACAGAGAGUUGUCUCAUUGACAAUCAAUCAUAUAUGCCAUCCUUUUCUUCUUAUUUAUCUGUAUAUAUUUUUAAUACACACACAUUUCAAACAAGUAUCAGAUGCUGUUCAGUUUCAUUUCAUUUCAAAUUUGUUCAGUUUCAUUUCAUUGGACUAGGAAGGACACAAUUUAGAACAAUUACUUUCAAAAGGGGGGGCGCACUACCUAUACAGAAGGUGAAAUGUGCUGCUGGGAUACAUGAAGGUCAUCUUUUCAAGCUUGAAAAAUAUAUGUGGAUACAUGUAGGUCUGGAAAACUAUCAGAAAUAUAUGAUUACAUCAUUAAAGUUACAAUAUAAAUUUCUUCGUCUCUCAUCCUUCUUGGUCUUACAAGCUGUUUUGUCAAUCUUUUUUUACACUUUGGUAUGCCACUUUUUUUUUUAUUGCAGAGCAUUAAUAUCGACAUGAAACCCAAACAAUAUAGGAAAAGGUUACAUUUUCACCUAUAUCUGUAUUCAUCAUGUUGCAAAACAAUAUAUAUCCAUGAUUGGUGAAGUAAUUUCACUCAAGUAUGGGUCCUUUAGCUACCCUACACUACGAUAUUUAUUUAUUCUUCGAUUGAUCCAGUACUUUAUAGUCAUGUCCAUAUUCAUAUUAUGUCUUCAUAUAAUUUCAGUCAGUGGAAAUACCAGAAACAACAUCCUAGCUGGUUUUGGAAUUUUUCCUGCAGACUAUGAAAACACUGCUGUAGUUCUUUGAUUCUUUGAUAACUUGUACAUGUUGUUGUGAUGUAACAAAUUGCUUUUUAUAAGCUACAUGUACAAAAUGAAAGAAAGAAGGUAAGAUAUUAAAGUUAUACUCAAAUAGUUCUUCAUUUUUGGGGUCAAAGGCGACAGGGCAUCCUGCCACUUUUUAAGAUUUGAAAAGAUUUGAUUAUUUCAAUUACAUUUUUUAGAUUGAAAUUAUUUUGUAAAAUUUAUUUAAACAUUUAUGAUAAUUUGAUAAACCUUAGAAAAAUUUAAGGGUUUUGUUUUAAACUUUUUUCUAUAUCUGAUAUACAAAAAAAAUUAAAAGAUAAUCUGCAAUAAAAUGAGAAGUGUUAUUGUCUUUAGACAUUUAUAUAUAGUUCAUAUUUAAAUUGUACUUUUAAACACAUAUUGUCAUUUUUUCCUUAAAAUAAAUUUGCAUUUUGCUUCAUGUAUAACAUUAUAAUUUCAGGUUAGAAUGCAGAACUGGUGAAGAUGAAGAUUAUAAUUGUGAUCUACAUAUUGAUUAAUUUGAAGCAGAAUUUGUUCUUAAGAGUGAAAUAAACAAAAAACAGUGUGUUAUAGGAAUAUGUUCCACUAUUACCACAACAACAAAAAUAUUCAUUGUUUGACUGAGAGAUAAAUGAAUAAAAGUGUUAAUAAAGAGUACUAGACAC